rnacentral:misc_RNA from 1 species
GAUGAAGAACGCAGCGAAAUGCGAUAAGUAGUGUGAAUUGCAGAAUUCAGUGAAUAAUCGAAUCUUUGAACGCACAUUGCGCCCCUUGGUAUCCCGAGGGGCAUGCCUGUUCGAGCGUCAUUUCACCACUCAAGCCUGGCUUGGUGUUGGGCGACGUCCCCUUUAGGGACGCGCCUCGAAACGCUCGGCGGCGUGGCACCGGCUUUAAGCGUAGCAGAAUCUUUCGCUUUGGAAGUCGGGGCCCCGCCUGCCGGAAUACCUACUCGUAAGGUUGACCUCGGAUCAGGCAGGGAUACCCGCUGAACUUAACCAUAUCAAUAAGCGGAGUA